rnacentral:lncRNA from 1 species
UGGAUCCUUUAUAAAUCGAUUCUUAAAAAAUUCACAGGCUUUCCUCCCGUUUCCAAGUUCCAUUUGCUUAUUUUUGGAUUCGUUAUAAAUCGAUUAAAUUCGUUUCGUACAUUCAUUCCAACAUCCACACACACAAACCCUAAUCGUUCUCUCCAUCGUCUCGCUCUUCGAUGGUGGAUUCUUUCAAAAUUGAUGAGAUCAUUGUUCUGAUCAUCAUCAUGUGUUUCAUAAAUCCUUGAUUUGUGGUAAAUUUUAUUUCAAAUUUUCAUUUGUCUCAUUUAAUUUUAGGCUUUACCUCAUACUCUAAUCGUUAAAUCCACUCGAUACGAAUAUGGUCGACAUCAUAUUUGGUUUUUACAGGACGAUCAUCCAAAUCAAAGUUUGGUGUUCUUGA